rnacentral:lncRNA from 1 species
GCCUCCUCCUCGCGCCGCUCUCCGGCUGCCCUCCCGCCGCUCCCACCUCCUCUCCUCCCUCCUCUCUCUCCGGCGGCCUCCCUCGAUUGCUGGAGAGAAAACCAGCCCCCCACUCCAGCCCCUAGCCAGCGCCUCGCCGCGGCCCAGCCCGGACGUAAAGGGCAGCGAUCCGGCCCCAAAUUACCCAGCGCGAACGGGCGCGCGCGGCGACUCCUGGCUCGGGGCUCGGCUGCGCCGCGGGGCAGAGGAUUAGAGUCGCAAUUAGCUCCGCGCGCCCGCGCCUGGCGACAAAAACGCGCCGUUUCCCCUCCUUUCGCCGGGCGAUCCCCACCCGCCUCUCCCGAAGCCCGCGCCUUCCCGCCGGGGCCGCGGCCAGGACCCUCCCGGGAGCGGUGCGCCCAGGCCCCAGCGCCCUCCGCGGCCCAGCCCCCCGCCCCCCGCCGGCCGGCCACGCGGCGCCCGGGCCUCCUCCGGGCUCGGGGAGGGGGCGGGGGAGAGGCUGAUUUUAAUCAUUGUCAUUUCAUCUGAUGUAAUAUUUCCCCGGGCGCUUUCAGCUGGGCAUAAAUUUUCGGCUCCCAAAUAAGUAACACAGGGCACGUUUCUCACAUUUCUUGACUCCUCGGUUACAAAGAGGAGAGCAGCCGCCGCCGCGGCGCCCGGGGCUGGGGGCGGGACUUGGGAAGAAACUGGGCUGCCAGUCGGUCGGGGCUGGAGCGGAGCCGGGGGCCAGGCCGCCCCUCCCCCGCUCCCUGGCCGCCCUCCCAGGGUCUCUGCCCCGCUGCCCCUCUCCCGUGACGUCUGCGGACACGCGGUCGGCCGCCGCGGGGGAGGGACGCGCUGGGGCACCGGGCCGACCGCUCGCGGCUAGACGCGCCAUUUCCUUUACGCGCGCGGCGCGAUGGAGACGGCGGCAGCCAAGACUCCCCGCGGCCGAGGCCAUGAGAUUGGUUUUAAUAUGACACUUCAAAAGUAUUCAUGGAACUACAGAGCUACUAAGUGUCAUUGUUUAAGAGACAAAUCUCACCAUGGUACUGGUGACCCUGAAAAUAGGAUAUUCUACUUUAUUUUAAAUUCCUACGUGUUUUUUUAAGAGUUUCACUUUAUACCAAUUAUAAUAAAAAUGUACAAUUUAGUGGAAACAAGAA